GCUGAGCCAAAAUAGACCAUAUUACAUUUGUUUUAUUUUCCAAAGGUUGAUGUCGCACAAUCUGCAUCUGGCUCCAACACAUGCAUAUGAUAUUUUCCUUAUCCUUCAAGAAACCUUCUACGCUCCCGCUGGUAGGACACUUCUAACAUCAGCCGGAAUUGAGGAAGACACCACAAGACAAGAGACAAAAAAUACACAAUUUAUUACCAAGGGGUGUUGCUUAGGAUUGGCUUUGGAUAAUAUACGGAAGUUCUCUAUGGGGAAAAUAAAGUUAUUCUAUAAUUUACAGUUUGACAAUAUAAAACUUACUUGGAGUAUCUGUGUAGUAGACAAAGAUGUCACCAGUAUUUAUGAGGAGUUCCACAUUAAAACGUACAGUA